UUUUUUUGGGUCUACUUCUGAGGAAGUAGUUUUUCACUGUUUAGAAUUUAAAGACAAUUGGUGGAAUCCAGAAAUUAGGCAAAUGCCAACUGGAAAAGGAAGUUUGAGCUUGAGUUUUUAGAACAAUUUGAACCAGAUACUGAUUUUUUUUUCUGCUUUACAUACUGAAAUACCUAUACAUUUAUAUUGUUUUGAGUUAUUUGUGGCUUUUCAAGCUACUUGUAUUUGCCAUGUGAUGGGAAGAUAAAUUUGCCAUAGAAUAGGAAGAUUAAAUGUUCAUUCUGCAUUUCACUAAAUUAAUAAUUUAAUUAAAUGAGUUAUUAGCCCCAGGGCAUGAAAGAGUUCUUCUAAGUACAUUAAAUAUGUAACAUUUAGCAACUAUUAAAUUACUAAUCCUCAUCGUUAAUUUAUAGAAUCUUGGAUUUUAACCUUUUUGCUAAACUGUUUCAGUUGAAAGGAUUUCUCUAUAGGAACUGGGUGAUAAAACUGUAACAGGGUGGGAAUAUAUUUCUAUUGUUUUCAGAGGAAGUUAAAAUGUAAGAGGUCUAAAUGUUCAAAUAACUCAAAACCUUUAGUAAAACUCUGGGUAAAAGAAAUAAAUGUAUUGAACUUAUUUUUUUUUCAGUUUUCAUUUCCAUGUUCGCCUCAGGCUAAAAAUUCAAUUUUAAUUUUACAAUGUUUGUUUCUAUUCAAAACUUAUGGUAGAAAUGAAUAUACUUAGACCUAGAGGUUGAAUAUAUAUUAAGGUAGUCUAUUUUAAUUUUAGUAUGAAUUUUUCAAUUGCAUUUCUCAGCAAUUUAGACCUUGGUUAUAACAUUGCCAUGAUAUUCAGCAUCUAGGACUUGAUGAUUUUCAUUAAGAUUUUGAUCAGCUGUCCUGUAAGGGAAAGUGUUUCGGAUAGCUGAGUGUUUCACUUUAAUCCCACAUCAGUGUGCUAGGACAGGCACCUCACUUUAUUGUGCCUUGCUUUGCUGCGCUUCAUGGAUAAUUGCAUUUGUUAGAAACUGAAGGUUUGUGGCAACCCUGUGUUGAGCAAGUCUAUUGGUGCCAUUUUUCCUGUAGCAUUUGCUCACUUCUUGACUUUGUGACCCAUUUUGUUAAUUAUUGCAAUAUUUAAAACUUUUCAUUUUUAUUAUGUUUCAUAAUCUGUUAUCAUUUAUUAUAUUUGUUGACAGCUAUUUUCUUAAUGUGAUUAAAAACAUAUAACUAAGUCAACAGUCAGCUUUUUGGCUCCAUUUCCAUUAGGCAUAUUAUAUAUGAAUUCUGGUGGCUUAUGUAGUCCGUGAAAUUGGGGAAGGACCUCAGAUUUUCAGUCUAUUUUGGAUGCUCCUUCUGGUCUAAGCCCAUGUCCAUGUAAUUGUGUGGUUUAAUAUCAUGACUGCAAUGUUUUUGAUUCCCCUACUAUUCAGAGGUAGAGUUUAUGUGCCCUUCCCUUUUAUUUGCUCUGGCUUGUGGCUACUUCUACCAGUAAACAGUAAAAGCGACACUAGGUGAUAUCUGAGCCUAGAUUAUAAAAGACUAUGCUGCUAGUGCUUUGUUCACUCCUGGAUAGUGUUUGGUGAUACUGACGUGGCUGUCCUGAAAGGUCCCCUGCAGGGCUCUGCUCAACAGACCGGCUACUCUGGUUCUUCAAGCCAUCCUUGUCUGGGCACUUGUGCAUGAAGGCUUCAUGGGUAUGAAGCCAUCCUGGACUGUGCAGGACAGUCCAUUUGCCAUCUGAGUACUACUGAGUUAUGGUUGCCAACCGGACAUGGAGCAGAGGUCACCCAGUUGAUGCCUAUCUAAAUUCUAGACCCACAAAAUCUUCAGAUCUAGUGCAAUGGCUUUUGUCUUAAAGUCAACAACAUUUUAAGGUUUGGGGAUAGUUUGUUAAUGUAACAAUGGAUGACAACGACUCUUCAUAUCAUAUUAGAAGUUACCUUUCAUCCCCUCAACAUCAAAAUUUGGCCUUGAGGAUCCUGGCUGAAACUCUAAAACUCAGGAUGCUCAGUUCCUUUCUGGGGUCUAAGGAACCAGCCUGUAACCCAGACCUCCAGCUGCUGAAGCCCCCAACAGUUUCGCAGGAAGGGCCACAUUCUUUUCAUCCUCAGAGAAAAACUUAUUUCCUCUAACAUUUCUCAGAAACAAAGUUAGCUCUUCUCUAGCAAAGGAAUCCAGAACCUAAGGACUUUAAGACGAACUAUCUUGCUUAAACAAGAAAAGGGGAAAUUUCUUAUGUAUCUGUGAGGGAAAAACAGUAACAUCAAUAACCAACAAAACCUCUACCUCAAUCAAAAAAGAUGUCUUAAUCAGUGGUGAUAGAGAUGUGGUGUUUACAUUUCACCAAUUAAAAAAAAAUUGUAGGAGUUCCCAUUGUGGCUCAGUGGAUUAAGAAUCUGACAUAGUGUCUGUGAGGAUGUGGGGUUUGAUCCCUGGCCUCGCUCGUGGGUUAAGGAUCCAGCGUUGCUGCAAGAUGUGGCAUAGGUCACAAAUGUACCUUGGAUCCUGCAUUGCUGUGGAUAUGGUGUAGGCCUGCAGCUGCAGCUCCAAUUUGACCCCUAACCCGGAAACUUCCACAUGCUACAAGUGCAGCCAUAAAAAGGAAAAAAAAUGGUUACUUAUUUUACUACAGAGAAUCAGAGUUUUAUACUGUGUACUUUUUAGAAUCUAUUGAGAUGUUCUUAAUGUCCUAAGAUAUGAUCAAUUCUUUAAAUCUUCCAAGUGUUUACAGUAAAUAUAUAUCAGUAUAUUUUUAAAAUAGCUAUUAAUUAUAUUAUUGAAUUCUUCUGAUAAUAAUAAACAGUUGCCUAGUAUUUACCUUUGGUGAAGCACUGUUCUAGAAACUUUAGAUAAAUUAACUUUUCAUCCAUUUGUUUUAAAUCUACAUGCAUCUUUAAAUUUGAAGUGGAUUCCUUGUAAACAACGUGAAGUUGGCUCUUAUUUUUUGAUCCAUUCUGACAUUCUUUGUCUUUCAAUUUGUGCAUUUUCACCAUUGAUGUUCAAUAUGGCUAUUGAUAUCGUUGGAUGAAUAUCUGCCAUAUUUGCUAUUGUUUUGCAUUUGUUACCUUAGUUUUGUUCCUAUUUUCGUCUUCUACUGAUUUUCUGCCCUUUGUGAUUCCAUUUUCUCUCCACUCUUAGCAUAUCAAUUAUACUUAAAAAAUUUUUUUUUAGUGGUUGCCCUAGAAUUGUUAAUACACACUUACAACUAACCCAAGUCCACCUGUGAACAGCCUUUGAUAUUGCAAAGAUCUGGAAAAACUUUACUGCCUAAGGUAGUACAUGGGCUAUAUCAGUUUAUGAGCAAAGGUCUGGAGCCAUGGCCCCAUCUCUGGCUGCACAGCCUGGUUACCUGGGGAGCUGUUAGUCCCAUGGCCUUACCCAGACCUGCUGGAUCAGGGUGAAGAGGCUUAUGCAUAUGGUUAUCACCAGCAUUAAAAUAAUCAAACCCCAAAUCAUAGGACCAAUCUUGAGUGGCCCAUUAACACACUUUGAAAAUUCCUCUUAAAGCUUUCAUAAAUCCAUCUAAGGAACUGCGGCAGAAUAACCAUUUCUUCCUUCUUCCAUGCUCUUCUUUUCAUUAUGUAGAUCCAAGUUUCUGUCCUGUAUCACUUUCCUUCUCUCCAAAGAACUUCUUUAACAUUUCUUACAAGACUGGUCUACUGGCAACAAAUUCCCUCAAUAUUUGUUUGUCUGAGAAAUGCUUUGUUUCUCCUUUGCUUUUGAAGAAUAAUUUCAGAAGAUACAGAAUUCUAGGUUGCUGAUAUUUUCUUCUUUCAAUAUUUUAAAUAUUUCUCUCCCCUUUCUUCUUGCUGGCAUGGUUUCUGAGGAGAAGUCAGGUGUAAUUCUGAUCUUUAUUUCUCUGUAGAUGAGAUGUUUUUCUUCUCUGGCUACUUGCAGUAGAUUCUUGGGUGUUCUUAAUCUGUGAUUUUCUGUAAUUUGAAAAUGAUAUGCCUAGGUGUAGUUUCCUUGGCAUUUAUCCUGCUUGGUAUUCUCUGAGCUUCCUCAGGUAGAUUAACACUUAAAGUGGGGUAAGAACCCUCUGAGGUUGGAGAUGUUACAGCUCCCACAGUAAACUUGAUCAGUAAGCCUGAGGGAGUGAGAGGUUAAAUCACAUGGCUAGUAUGUGGUAAGGCAAGAGUUUGCACUCAGACAGUAUUUUUUUGUUUGUUUGUUUGUUUUCUUUUUCUAAAGGCCACCCCUGCAGCAUAUGGAAGUUCCUGGACUAGGGGUCAAAUUGGAGCUGCAGGUGAGGCAUAUGCCACAGCCAUGGCGAUGAUGGAUCUGAGCCACAUCUGUGAGCUGCACCACAGCUUGUGGCAACGCUGGAUCCUUAACCCACUGAGCAAGGCCAGGGAUCAAAUCCUUAUCCUCGUGGACACUAUGUCAGGUUCUUUAACUGCUGAGCCACAAUGGGAAUUCCUGGCAGUAUUAUUUAUAUUCUAAAGGCCCUUUGGUUUAUGUAGACUUUGUAUAAAGUCACCUCACAUUAUUUUGAGAGUUGUAGUAUGCCUUAUUAACAAAUGAGAACAAAAUGCUCACUUUAACCUCCGUUACCUCUCAAAUAGUACUUAAAAUAUUGCUAAAAUAUUUCUUCCCUCUCUGCUAUUCCUACUUAGUCUAUUUUUGCUUACUUUGUAGACAUUAUUAUUUGAAAAUCUCUCAGACUUUUUUUUUUUUUCUUUUUAGGGUGGCACCUGUGGCAUAUGGAGGUUCCUAGGCUAGGGGUCUGAUCAGAACUACCCCUGCUGGCCUGCACCACAGCCACAGCAAUGCCAGAUCUUAGCCACGUCUGUGACCUACAACACAGCUCAGGGCAAUGCUGGAUCCUUAACCCACUGAGAAAGGCCGAGGAACGAACCUGCAACCUCAUGGUUCCUGGUCAGAUUCAUUUCUACUGCAUCGUGAUGGGAAUGCUGAAAACCUCUCAGACUUUUAAGUAUGCUUUUGUAUUGGUGCAUUAUACAUAUUAUACAUAUUAUAAAUUUAUAUUAUUUAUUUGUUGUAUGAAUUUUUGUUAUUUAUUUAUUUAUUCCAAAUGUUUGGGAGUCAAAAAAUGACUAUGGUGCCAUAAAUACAAUUAUUUCAAUGAGCUGGUUUGAUUUGCCUUUUAAUCUGUGUUU
rnacentral:lncRNA from 1 species